GUGCAUGAUAAAAGCUUUAUUUAUACAAAAUAUAAACUUAAAUUAGAAACAAGAAAUUAAUGGCACAUGACACUUUACUUCUGCAUAAAGCUAUAUUUUAAUACAUUUCAUUGUUUGCCUUAUUCGAAUUAUACUGCUGCGAAGAGAAUGAAGAGAUGUUUCAUUGGUUUUCAAAUGACUAUUGGUGUGUUUACUGUGUGUAUUACUAGCUAUGCUACAUAUAUCAACUAUUUACUGCUCUUUUAUAAAUUUAUUUAAAUAUGUCAUUAUUCUGUUUGCAUGCAACGCUCUGUCUAAGUUGUUAUCCCAACUUUUCUCAAGUGAUAUAUCUCUGAACUCUUCAUAUAUUUCUUUGACAAUCUUAGUUUAUUUAUGAACUGGAUCUUUCUUGAUAAUUUCUUUCCAGUAAUGGUACCCAUCUUUGAUGACUAUAACAGCACAAUAAAUAAUUUUCUUCUUAAAGAAUAUGUCUUUAUGUUAAACUUACUUCUUUUUAAGUAUAAUUGGUUGUCUUGUUCAACCCUGGACAACUCUUCAUUACAAAAAUAAGAAAUUCUUUAGAUUUGGAAAAUUCAUAAUAAAAAUUGAAUUUAACUUUUUUGAUGGCAAUAUAUAUAUCUAUAUAAGUAGUAAGAUAUAUCCCUCUCCAUUUUUUUUUGUCACUUUAUUCGAUGGUUGGGCAUUAAAUAUCCCUAAGAGUGGACACUAUAAGGCUUUCACCAACUAGCUUUUAAUUGAUAAGCUUUAUUUUUUUAGUAAAGAUGACAAGGAUUUGAUAUGCGACAAAAAAUAAGCCAGUUGUAAGAUCUUCAUUUACAAAAACAGGAGAUAUAAUACUUCAAUUUAAACAUAUACUUGUAAUAAAGCAUUGUUGAAAAUCGUCACCGUACCAUAAAAUUAAAAUAAUCAGAGAAAAAAAUCUCUUACUUUAAAAAUACAUCAGUAAUACUCGACAUAUGAGAUAUUAUAAAGAAAAGUUGUGAAAGGAAAUACUUGUUAUAUAAAUAUCAAAUACUACAGAUAAAAAAAAAUCAUUCAUAUCGUGUUCUCUGCUAAUUUAAAAAUCAGUAGGCAUUAUAUUUAUCAAUAUUUUACACCUCACUAAGGCUAGACCAGCUUUAAAAAUAUUGACAGUAUAAUCUUACUAAUGUUUAAACAUGCAUAGCUCAUAUUCAAGAAAGGAACAUUUUGCUGUUCUCCAUUCACUUUAUUAUAAUAGCCCUCAUUAAAGUGAGUAGUUUUAAAAUUAUAAGAUUCUAAUUUAACAUAAAAUCUUCAUUUUUUGCAAUACAAUAAAAUUUAGAACUUGUUUGAAAUUUACAGUUUGUUUUUUUUAAAGAAUGUAGUUGGCAUUAAAAAUUGGCUUUAUAAUUAUUCCUUAAAGAAAAAAAUCAGAAAAAGAGAAGACUGUCCUGUCAGAGCAGAAAAGUGUAUUGGAUAACUAUGCAAUAUCAUAUACCAUGAGCAAUAAACAUUUUAUAAUAUACAUUGUAGUACCAAAUUCUUAGUUAAUCUGGAUAAAUAUAAUAUUUUUCCAAUGAAAUCUUGAUCAAAAAUUAAGAAUUAUAUUAAUCCUCGAGAGGUUCUUCCAAAUACACUAUCGUAUUGAUAUAUCAUGUAUUUAUAAGCAAUAAUUUGAAUCAAAUCUUCUGAGUUAAUUUUCAUGAAUGGCAGGUUUUCUGUCAUUUGUAUGGAAGUACAAUAUCAGUUUAUGCACCUCUGAACAGAUUGCAGAACAUUAAGAUUCUUUUUUAUUCUAAAUACAAAUUAGCAUGAAAUAUUUUAAAAAUCUAUUCAUAAAUGCUCUACCUUUCAGAUAUUCUUUUAAGAGUGAAUGCCAAAAGAGCCAAAUAUUACAUAUUUACUUUAAAAGAGAUCUACCCAAUAUUUGGUACUACGUGUAUAUCAUUAUAAAAAUAGAUUAAGCAUAACAUUUUCAUAAUGAUAUUUACGACUUCAAUCAAUCAUAUAAAAUUAUAAAAAAAAACACAUUGUUAAAAAAUAUGGACAAUAUAAAAAUAUAAAGAUAUGAAUACACAUCUCUUGGAGAUAAAAAUGAAAAAUUCCAAAUACGCCAGCAUAUUUAGUAAAACAUGAAAAUAUAAACAAUAAUCUCCACCCCAUUGACCAAAUAACAUAAAAGUCUAAUUUCAAAGUAUGUUGAUAUAAAGUAAUGUAAAAAAUAAUCUAAAAUCUAUUAAGUCUAAAAAGCAGUUUAAUACAUUCUUACUUCAGAAAAACACUUUCUCCUUUUAGGCGAGUGACUUAUUUCAAAAAGACGCUUAGUUAACGACUUUAAUGCACCCACCUAACACACGGCUGUAUUAUAUAUCAUUCGAAAGCUGUUAAUCUGUACUUUCUGUUUUGCCCGGUCGUAAAAAAAUCGUACGGUGCAAUUUUUGUUAAAUCAAGGUCAAAGGUCAUGAAAAAACAUUCCAAUUUUUGCGAUUACUAAAUAAAACGCCAUUUUUUAAUUCUUGUACCAUAAAAUUUUCCAAAAGAUCAUAUGAACUUUAUGGAACAUGAUACAUAAUUUCCAAAUCAAACAAAAAAUACGAGAUU
rnacentral:lncRNA from 1 species